ensembl:lncRNA
AUGGGGAAAACUCUCUGGUGGAGCCUUUUGCUCAUCUUUGCUCCAGCUGGACAGCUUGGAGAAGCCGAAAUAGCAGGCGACAUAUGCCGCUUCUGGUCCUAUGGGGCAGGUGCCUCUUCUGCCACUGUCUUCACUUUCCAGUGUCCCGACCAAAAUGAUGAAGCGGAUGCCAGGUUUUGCUGUGGGACUUGCGCUGCUCCCUACUGCUGCUCCUCCAAGGAGUUCCGCCUGGACCAGAAGCAGUGUGUGGGCAGUGAACAGCGAAAGGUGGCCACCAGAAGCCUAGUGGGCAACCAAGGCCUGAGGAAAGCUCAAGGAGAGAGAGGUGCCCAAGCCAGAGGGGUGGUGGGAGUAACCCAGGCCAACCAAAUAGGACAGACCACCCAAGUGGAAGAGACUACCCAGACAGGAUGGACCACCCAAGCCAACUCCACCAUGGACUUGGUGUUGACCACCCCAUCUAUGGAGGAAGACCUACCAGGUAACUGGAGAAUCUACCUGGUCCCUGCGGGGGCCAUCUUUGUGGUCCUGGCCAGCCUCAGCCUCCUCUGCUUCUCCUCCAAAGUACGCAGGUGGACUCAAUCCUGCGAGUGUGAUGGAAAUCUAGAUGACCCAGAGGAAGACGGUUUCGCCAUCCCUUGGAAUAUCCCCAUCAUCGACCGGCCGGAGACCUACGGCCCCUGUGUGAGCGCUCCGCAGCCUGUGCCCCGCAUCCGGGGGCCCAGACAGGCCAGGAAAGCCCCUGCCCACUUGCCUUAUGCGCCCAAGGAGUUGGGGAUUCGGUCUCAUCGCUCUUCCCAGACCAGUGCAGACGGAAUGCUCCAGGGCUCCUCUUCAAAGGCAGACGGGUCUGGCUGUGGUUCCUCUUCAGAGGCCAUCUUUAGUAUUGAAGACUUGGACUGAACCCUUGGAGUAUUGGGCCCAAUACUUCAAGGAGAAAUGAAUCACAGAUUGAUAGUAUUUUAAUUCCUAUGUAUUGAACAGAUUGUUUCUUAUUAGUCCUUUCUUUCCCCCAAGUUGCUCUAACUCCUAGCAUUGCAGCUUUCGACUUUCACAUCUGUAUUUCUCAACCUUUAACCAGGAAUGGAUGAUGGGUUUCAUGUCAGGAAGUAUUGGAUCCACACUCCAAGUUUAAAACCAGACCUUUUUCUCCAAUAUUCAGCACCUCAGAGAGCAUUGAAAAUGAGUCAAAACCUGGAAUAGCUCUAAUGACAUGGGAGCCACCGCGAUCACUGCUUUUCCAGAGUUUUUGAAUAUCAAUUCCCAGUAUCCCUGGACAUCAAAUGUGUUGACUGGGGAUUCUGGGAGAUGGCGUUCAAAGAAAGAUUUAUGCUAAUCCUCCAUUCAAUGUGUUAGCUAAGACUGAAGCUUGGUAUUGUUCCCUUUUGGGGAUAAGGAUUUUGCAGAUCCUCCAACCAUGAUGACUACUGGUUUCACUGGUUGGGUGAUUAAGGUGAGCAGUUCAAAAAUAUGACAUCUCUCCAAAUUUGACUUCAGAGGAAACAAGUUUUGAGAGAUGUGACUCAAAUCCCUAUGUGUUAUUGCAUAGGAUAUUCAACCCUUUUCCUCUCCAGUUCUCGAAUCCAUAAUGCAAGUCCCAGCAUCCCUUACUAUUGACUUGGAAACCAGCAAGGUCUUAAACAGUAUUAGUCAAGAUCAGUUGUGUUGCCAAAUGAAACAGUUGAAUGAGCAAUUGCUUCAUCUAUUUUUUAGGAUCUUAAUUAUGGGGCAACUUUUGAAACGUUUGCUGUGUGAUUUAUUCCUAUCUAUUUUCAGACGACUAGGGGACGUUUUUGAAACUCUCUUAGGAUUAUGUGUUGUUAGAAGAUAGCUCCAAUCUUUUUUUUUUUUAAAGGAUUAGGAUUUCUUUUGUAUUAACCUGUGUUUUCCAUGUAUUGACCUUUGUUCCUGAGAUGCCUAAAGCUGCUUUUGAGACCAGAGGCAUAUGAAAUGCAUGCUUCCUUGAGUAGGCACCUCUUUUGACAAUAAAACGUGUGCAGUGUUUUCAUCUUGGCCUCUUCAAAUGAUUUAUUUUCCAUUUCAACAUUUAAAGCUUCCCUUGUAAUCAGCAUUUUGCAGUUACAACCUGGAACUUAUACCUCAGGCACACAAAAGAGCUUGGGAGGCUGCACCCCACACUGCCAUAAUAAUAAUAAUAAUAAUAAUAAUAAUAAUAAUAAUAAUAAUAAUAAUAAUAAUAAUAAAGCUGAUGACCCAAAAUGCAGACUCUGCAAGGAAACCGACGAAACCAUUGAUCAUAUCCUCAGCUGCUGUAAGAAAAUUGCACAGACAGACUACAAACAGAGGCACAACUAUGUGGCCCAAAUGAUUCAUUGGAACUUAAGCUUCAAGUAUCACCUCCCAGCAGUAAAGAACUGGUGGGAUCACAAACCUGCAAAAGUAAUGGAAAAUGAGCAUGCAAAGAUACUGUGGGACUUCCGAAUCCAGACUGACAAAGUUCUGGAACACAACACACCAGACAUCACAGUUGUGGAAAAGAAAAAGGUUUGGAUCAUUGAUGUCACCAUCCCAGGUGACAGUCGCAUUGACAAAAAACAACAGGAAAAACUCAGCCGCUAUCAGGACCUCAAGAUCGAACUUCAAAGACUCUGGCAGAAACCAGUGCAGGUGGUCCGGGUAGUGAUCGGCACAUUGGGUGCCGUGCCAAAAGAUCUCAGCCGGUAUUUGGAAACAAUAGACAUUGACAAAAUUACGAUCUGCCAACUGCAAAAGGCCACCCUACUGGGAUCUGCGCGCAUCAUCCGAAAAUACAUCACACAGUCCUAGACACUUGGGAAGUGUUCGACUUGUGAUUUUGUGAUACGAAAUCCAGCAUAUCUAUCUUGUUUGCUGUGUCAUAAUAAAAUAAUAAUAAUAAUAAUAAUAAUAAUAAUAAUAAUAAUAAUAAUAAUAAUAAUAAUAAUAA